UUGCCUCAAGUGCCAUGAUCUUGAUGGGUCCUGGACCUAGUAGGCAAGUACUAGCAUAAUUAGCGUUCUUGUGUAAGAUUUCCCAGGUUAAUGAUAAACAUUAUAGUAGUAGUUGUUGUAACAGCAUUCUGCAUGAAUGCAUGGUCAUGUUGCAGUAUUGUGACGACUGCCUAAAUUUCUGUACCAUGCAGGUGCGACUAAAUCUGAGAUCUUUUGAACAGAUCUUGGUGUGUGCUGUGGGAAUGCGUAAAGGAGAGGUGCAGAUGAUCUCAAGAUUGGAGCUUUUUUUUUUUCUUCUGUUUUGGCGCACUGAAGAAAGACUGACUGACGUGAUAGAGAAGGGCAGGGGAGGAGAUGAUGGCAGAGAAAAACUGGUAUGUUUUCAGAUGCCUUUUUACCCUCGCAGUCGCAGGGCCGGCCUGCAUUGCUGUCAUGUUACUACUACUCUCUGUCAGGGUUAAAGAGUACACUCUCCUAUAGGAGUGAAGGGGGGAGACAAAGUGGAAGCAAGGCCCUCCUGAUUACCACGAGAAAGAGAAAGUGAGAGUUUGAUACUAGGCCCUAAAAAGGAUGAACACACACAGGUUACAAUGGUGUGAUCAG
rnacentral:lncRNA from 1 species